UACGUAGGGGGCAAGCGUUGUUCGGAAUUACUGGGCGUAAAGGGCUCGUAGGCGGCCAACUAAGUCAGACGUGAAAUCCCUCGGCUUAACCGGGGAACUGCGUCUGAUACUGGAUGGCUUGAAUCCGGGAGAGGGAUGCGGAAUUCCAGGUGUAGCGGUGAAAUGCGUAGAUAUCUGGAGGAACACCGGUGGCGAAGGCGGCAUCCUGGACCGGCAUUGACGCUGAGGAGCGAAAGCCAGGAGAGCAAACGGG
rnacentral:rRNA from 1 species